AAUCCAUAGGUUAAUGAGGCGAACCGGGGGAACUGAAACAUCUAAGUACCCCGAGGAAAAGAAAUCAACCGAGAUUCCCCCAGUAGCGGCGAGCGAACGGGGAGGAGCCCAGAGCCUGAAUCAGCAUGUGUGUUAGUGGAAGCGUCUGGAAAGGCGCGCGAUACAGGGUGACAGCCCCGUACACAAAAGCGCAUGUGCUGUGAGCUCGAUGAGUAGGGCGGGACACGUGGUAUCCUGUCUGAAUAUGGGGGGACCAUCCUCCAAGGCUAAAUACUCCUGACUGACCGAUAGUGAACCAGUACCGUGAGGGAAAGGCGAAAAGAACCCCGGCGAGGGGAGUGAAAAAGAACCUGAAACCGUGUACGUACAAGCAGUGGGAGCACAGGUUUACCUGUGUGACUGCGUACCUUUUGUAUAAUGGGUCAGCGACUUAUAUUCUGUAGCAAGGUUAACCGUAUAGGGGAGCCGGAGGGAAACCGAGUCUUAACCGGGCGUUAAGUUGCAGGGUAUAGACCCGAAACCCGGUGAUCUAGCCAUGGGCAGGUUGAAGGUUGGGUAACACUAACUGGAGGACCGAACCGACUAAUGUUGAAAAAUUAGCGGAUGACCUGUGGCUGGGGGUGAAAGGCCAAUCAAACCGGGAGAUAGCUGGUUCUCCCCGAAAGCUAUUUAGGUAGCGCCUCGUGAAUUCAUCUCCGGGGGUAGAGCACUGUUUCGGCUAGGGGGCCAUCCCGGCUUACCAACCCGAUGCAAACUGCGAAUACCGGAGAAUGUUAUCACGGGAGACACACGGCGGGUGCUAACGUCCGUCGUGAAGAGGGAAACAACCCAGACCGCCAGCUAAGGUCCCAAAGUCAUGGUUAAGUGGGAAACGAUGUGGGAAGGCCCAGACAGCCAGGAUGUUGGCUUAGAAGCAGCCAUCAUUUAAAGAAAGCGUAAUAGCUCACUGGUCGAGUCGGCCUGCGCGGAAGAUGUAACGGGGCUAAACCAUGCACCGAAGCUGCGGCAGCGAACGUAUCACUUAAAGCGAUUCAGCGGAUGACGAUUGACGGAGCGAAGCGACGUCAAAGCGUAUACAAAGUCGAGUCGGUUUAAGGAUACGUUCGUUGGGUAGGGGAGCGUUCUGUAAGCCUGCGAAGGUGGCCUGUGAGGGUUGCUGGAGGUAUCAGAAGUGCGAAUGCUGACAUAAGUAACGAUAAAGCGGGUGAAAAGCCCGCUCGCCGGAAGACCAAGGGUUCCUGUCCAACGUUAAUCGGGGCAGGGUGAGUCGACCCCUAAGGCGAGGCCGAAAGGCGUAGUCGAUGGGAAACGGGUUAAUAUUCCCGUACUUGGUGUUACUGCGAAGGGGGGACGGAGAAGGCUAUGUUGGCCGGGCGACGGUUGUCCCGGUUUAAGCGUGUAGGUGUGUGUUCCAGGUAAAUCCGGUUCACUUUAACACUGAGGCGUGACGACGAGGCACUACGGUGCUGAAGCAACAAAUGCCCUGCUUCCAGGAAAAGCCUCUAAGCAUCAGGUAACAUCAAAUCGUACCCCAAACCGACACAGGUGGUCAGGUAGAGAAUACCAAGGCGCUUGAGAGAACUCGGGUGAAGGAACUAGGCAAAAUGGUGCCGUAACU
rnacentral:rRNA from 1 species